rnacentral:pre_miRNA from 1 species
GGCCCACCACUAUUACCAGACCAUCGAGGUGCCAUGGCACAAGAUUCUUGGUGCCACCAUUGAGAACUCCAAGAUUGUCCUGUGGGUCAGCAAUGCCCUUCUGGCUGAGGAUG